rnacentral:rRNA from 1 species
GGGCUGGGGCAGGGGCCAGGGGCCUACGGGAGGCAGCAGUGGGGAAUAUUGGACAAAUGGGCGAAAGCCUGAUCCAGCACAUGCCGCGUGUGUGAAGAAGGUCUUCGGAUUGUAAAGCACUUUUAAGUUGGGAGGAAGAGGCAGUUACCUAAUACCGUAUCUGUUUUGACGUUACCGACAGAAUAAGCACCGGCUAACUC